rnacentral:snoRNA from 1 species
CAUUGAAAUGAUGACAUACCAUCGUUCGGGACUGCAGUGGAGAACUACUUUUUAGUCUUACUGAUCACUC